UAAAGUGAAGAUUCUGAGCUUGAGGAACUGCAGUUUGUCAGAGACCAGCUGGACUUCUCUGUUCUCAGCUCUGAAGUCCAACCCGACCCAUCUGAUAGAACUGGGCCUGAGCAGAACCAACCUGGAAGAUUCUGGAGUGAAGGAGCUCUGUGGUUUUCUACAGACUGAAGGCUGCAGACUGGAGACAUUGAUAUUGAGGUACUGCAGUUUGUCAAAGAUCAGCUGUGAUUAUUU